rnacentral:rRNA from 1 species
AUUGAACGCUGGCGGCAGGCCUAACACAUGCAAGUCGAGCGGAUGAAGGGAGCUUGCUCCUGGAUUCAGCGGCGGACGGGUGAGUAAUGCCUAGGAAUCUGCCUGGUAGUGGGGGAUAACGUCCGGAAACGGGCGCUAAUACCGCAUACGUCCUGAGGGAGAAAGUGGGGGAUCUUCGGACCUCACGCUAUCAGAUGAGCCUAGGUCGGAUUAGCUAGUUGGUGGGGUAAAGGCCUACCAAGGCGACGAUCCGUAACUGGUCUGAGAGGAUGAUCAGUCACACUGGAACUGAGACACGGUACAGACUCCUAAGGGAGGCAGCAGUGGGGAAUAUUGGACAAUGGGCGAAAGCAUGAUCCAGCCAUGCCGCGUGUGUGAAGAAGGUCUUCGGAUUGUAAAGCACUUUAAGUUGGGAGGAAGGGCAGUAAGUUAAUACCUUGCUGUUUUGACGUUACCAACAGAAUAAGCACCGGCUAACUUCGUG